rnacentral:rRNA from 1 species
ACGGUAUCAACAGAAGAAGCACCGGCUAACUACGUGCCAGCAGCCGCGGUAAUACGUAGGGUGCGAGCGUUAAUCGGAAUUACUGGGCGUAAAGGGUGCGCAGGCGGUUCUGUAAGUCAGAUGUGAAAUCCCCGGGCUUAACCUGGGAACUGCGUUUGAAACUACAGAGCUAGAGUGUGGCAGAGGGGGGUGGAAUUCCAUGUGUAGCAGUGAAAUGCGUAGAGAUAUGGAAGAACAUCGAUGGCGAAGGCAGCCCCCUGGGUCAACACUGACGCUCAUGCACGAAAGCGUGGGGAGCAAACAGGAUUAGAUACCCUGGUAGUCCACGCCCUAAACUAUGUCAACUAGUUGUCGGGCCUUAUUAGGUUUGGUAACGUAGCUAACGCGUGAAGUUGACCGCCUGGGGAGUACGGUCGCAAGAUUAAAACUCAAAGGAAUUGACGGGGG